GCCGGGCGUGGUCGCACGUGCCUGUAGUCCCAGCUACUGGGGAGGCUGAGGUGGAAGGAUCGCUUGAGCCUGGGAGUUCUGGGCUGUAGUGCACUAUGCCGAUCGGGUGUCCGCACUAAGUUCGGCAUCAAUAUGGUGACCUCCCUGGAGCGGGGGACCACCAGGUUGCCUAAGGGGUGGUGAACUGGCUCAGGUCGGAAACGGAGCAGGUCAAAACUCCCGUGCAGAUCAGUAGUGGGAUCUCGCCUGUGAAUAGCCACUGCACUGCAGCCUGGGCAACAAAGCAAGACCCCGUCUCU
rnacentral:SRP_RNA from 1 species